UCAUCAGUUCCUGCCUCCAGGGUCCUGCCCUGACUUCCUGUCACAGCCGACUGAGAUUGGUAGGAACAAGCUAAGUUAACCCUUUCCUCCCCGAGUCGCUCUGAGUGGUGUUUUAUCACAGCGAUAGAAAAUAUCUAAAGCACUGGGCACGUUUGCAUGUGCCUGCAAUCCCGGCCACGAAAGAGGCUGACACGGAAGACUACUUCAGCCCAAGAGUGAAAGUCCAACCAGGUCUGCGCCUGCCCGGGCUCCUCGGUGCCAGGCUCCUCCCACCCUCCCAUCAUGCUCAGCAAAGCUCCUGGACUGGCCUGAGGACACCCCUGCGUGGACACCCAUCCUCUUUCGAUUCAAUGUCAGUGUGACCUAGGGGACAUACCUCGCAGUGCUAUUCCCUGAACCUGGACGUACAGGAGGUCGGAACCCACCCAACAGGGACUCAUGUGUGUGUGGAGGGACAGAGAGCACAGAGAGCAGGAAAGGCGGUCAGACCUGGAGCUAUGCUUACAGGAACUAAAUUUUGGGUCUUCUGCAAGAGCAACAAAGACUCCUACUCACUGAGCCACUC